rnacentral:rRNA from 1 species
CGGACGGGUGAGUAACGCGUGGGCAACCUGCCUCAUACAGGGGGAUAACAGUUGGAAACGACUGUUAAUACCGCAUAAGCACACGGGACUGCAUGGUUCUGUGUGAAAAACUCCGGUGGUAUGAGAUGGGUCCGCGUCUGAUUAGCUAGUUGGCAGGGUAACGGCCUACCAAGGCGACGAUCAGUAGCCGGCCUGAGAGGGUGUACGGCCACAUUGGGACUGAGACACGGCCCAAACUCCUACGGAAGGCAGCAG